GUGAACGCUGGCGGUAGGCCUAACACAUGCAAGUCGAACGGCAGCACAGUAAGAGCUUGCUCUUACGGGUGGCGAGUGGCGGACGGGUGAGGAAUACAUCGGAAUCUACUUUUUCGUGGGGGAUAACGUAGGGAAACUUACGCUAAUACCGCAUACGACCUACGGGUGAAAGCAGGGGAUCUUCGGACCUUGCGCGAUUGAAUGAGCCGAUGUCGGAUUAGCUAGUUGGCGGGGUAAAGGCCCACCAAGGCGACGAUCCGUAGCUGGUCUGAGAGGAUGAUCCGCCACACUGGAACUGGGACACGGUCCAGGCUCCUACGGGAGGCAGCAGUGGGGAAUAUUGGACAAUGGGCGCAAGCCUGAUCCAGCCAUACCGCGUGGGUGAAGAAGGCCUUCGGGUUGUAAAGCCCUUUUGUUGGGAAAGAAAAGCAGCAGGUUAAUACCCCGCUGUUCUGACGGUACCCAAAGAAUAAGCACCGGCUAACUUCGUG
rnacentral:rRNA from 1 species